AUCCAUCUGAUGAGUCCAAAAUAGGACGAAACAUGCGUUAUAGAA
rnacentral:hammerhead_ribozyme from 1 species